CUAUGGAGGUAAGGGGUUUGCCUUUUAUCACAAAAUUGGAGAAGGAAUUAGGUUUUAAAAUCAACAUUAAGGUAUUUUUUGUUGCUAAGAUAUUCAAGUCGAUAUCAGAGAAGUGUUUUUGUGGAUGCAGCCAGCCUCUCGUGCUGUUAAUUCGUCACCACCUACAGGUAACUGUCAAUAUAAAGGAAACCAACAUAGUGUCUUACAUGCUGACCGCUAGGGCCACCACGAGCCGCCAGAACAGCCUCAAUCUUGGCAUAGAUUCUACAAGUCUUUUUUAUUAUUUAUUCAAGGGAUUUGAAACUAUUCUUCCACAAUAAAUUCUAUAAUUCGUUUUUUUUUGUUGAUGAAAAACGCUGUCUCAGAGAAGCGUAUCGGCCGGGGCAUCGUUGGACAGCGCGAACUUGGCGUGGGAGGCUGUGAAAAAGUCAAACGUUUCCCAAUUUUAUCCACAAGCGGCGACCGCUAGGCGAUGACCAAUCAUAUCGAGUUUUUCCCAUGGCGAAUUAGAGGCUAUGCGACCCAAGCUGGAUACUUUCUUCAGCAAAGAUGGCUGACAAAAAUACUGAGAUGGAAGUGAAUGGACUCAUGAAACAACCAGCAAAACACGCUGUCGUCUUGUGAAACAGUGGAUGUAAAGAAUGUAGCUGGCAAAAACUUUUACCUCAAAUUGAAUGUUUAAUUUUGUAAGCUUGCCUUGCUGAUAUUUGCCAUUCAAUGCAUCUGAACUAAAGUAGCUAGCGAACUAUUUUCUUGCUUAUUGUGCAGUGGAGAAUAAAAAUACCUGUAUGCCUAUGGAUGUGGAUGGAUGUGGAUUGGUAUACAUGUUAGUUCAGAACCUAGCUAUGAACCUCAGCUAUCAUAGACACUUGUAUGUAUCAACUUCAGAACAGUCUGAAUGACAUUAAUGAAGCCUAUGGAUUGAGUAGAAUUUAAUAUAACUUUGUGCCAACGAUGAAAGGCGUAUAUACAUGUAGUUUUGACCAUGCAUGAGAUCCCCACAUUGUAGCCUGUAAAUGUAAUCUAUUCACUGAUCAUGUACUCUAGAUUGGCAAAUAAAGGUGCAGUUCAGGUA